UCAAUUAAUGCCUCAGAACAGCCCUGGGGCAAAGGCUACAAACACGAUCUUGCGGUGCAGAAGUUUCAAGUGAUAUGCAGAAGCCCUGAAAAUGUAAUCACCCCCUUUGUACACCCUGCAGUCCUACACGACCAACGAUUGGGAAGCAAUUGCCGCUGGCACGAACGUAGAUGAAAGGACAGUGAGAGGGAGAGAAAGGAAAGAGGAUAAAGAAGCAGUAAAAAGAAGGCAUAAGAAGAGAACGUGAGGAAAACGAAGACAGAGGGGAAGAAAACAGGACAGGAGAAAGCAGCGUCCCUCUCUGUACCUGUACUUGGUCCAGAGGCACCACGAGGGCGGACUACAUUUCCAAAGUGCCCCUGUUCCUAUAAGUCCCGCCCUUUCUCAGUCUCAAUUGCUGGUUGGUUACUGACUUCGGUUUCCUUUUUUCUUAGCCCUCUCAUUGGUUCUUGGGGAUGUCACUCUCACUGGGAAGGCGGAACGCGGCGUGGUUGCCGGGGGUUCCGGAAACGGGGCGGGCAGGCGCUACGGGCCAAUAGAGACCUGCCCGGCCGUCCGUUUCUGCUGCGGGGCUGCGGCGCCGGCGCCGCCAGGAACCUGGCCGAGAGAGAGAAGCAGAAGUUUUAACUGCCUUCUUCCCUGUGCAUCUGACUUUUUUGAGGCGGAGGGGUGGAGGAAGAAGAAAACUCCAAUGUUUAUAAAACCUCUUAUGAUAUCUCUAUACCAAAUUAUUAGACUUCACCUGUUCACUGACUACAAAAUAAAAUCUUGAUGUGCAAAUUGCUACUGGGAGGAUAUAACUACAGAACAUCAAAGGGAGAGAAGGCUUUUUUUACAAGCAUAUUCAUUUAUUGAAUCUAAACUUCAAAAUUUAACAAGCAAGAAAAUACUAGGACAUUUAUUUCUCUGGAUGAGAGAGGAUGAUAAGGGACGAAAAAACAUUUUAAAAAUAAUAAUUAAAAUAAAGUAUUGGGACUUCCAGAUAAUAUCCUUCCCUUUAUUUAAAAAAAAAAUAGGUUUUCUGUGAUUUUUAAAACGUUUAUUUUAAAAAAAUAGGCAUGAUGGAGGGGUGAGGGUCAGAGAAAAACUUAUCAUUCUAACUUUCAAAAUUCCAUGGAAAUGAAAUUGAUUAGUGCAGAAAAGUGGGAAAUUAUGUUCUGCUACUUUAAAUCAAUAUGUUAUUAGAUGAGUGAUAACCAAAAUAAUUCACAAAAAACAUUGGCAGAAGUUGCAGCAGAAAAAGUAGAGUGCUUACUCACAAGUAGUUUUUCCUCAUGUGAAUAGCUCUGUUGACUUCCAAAGGAUAACUUACAUGAGUAAGGCUUGCAGAAUCUAUAUUUAAGACUGAAACCAUCUGUGUUAAAUGGUUUGUUAUACAUAAGGGUUCUGUAGGAUUUUCCCUAACUCCUUCAAUAUUAUUCUUCCUGAACUGACUUGGUCUGAAAAUCUACUUGUUUAUUCACUCUGUUGCUCAUAAUCAUGGAGAUUUAAGAGUCAAUUAAUAGGAAAUGGAAGCCCUGACCAGUUUCUGCCUGUCUCAUGCCUAACUUUCAGGUAUUAUGUAGUUCAGAAUUCCCCCUCCCCCUCCAUCAGCAAUAUUUUAUACAUCAACUUUUUGUCUCAUAGGAAAAAAUAUGGUGAUAUAAACUUUAGUAACCUUUGAUUAACUCAUAUAAGCUGUAAUUUUAUAGUGUACAGGACAAAACCAUAUAUUUAUUUUAAAUGCUUUGAGCAUAUUCUCCUUUAUUCAGGGGCUAAAAUGGCAUUUCUAUAACUAGAAAUAUCUUGAUAUUGUGGGUAAACUUGGAACUUUAUUUGUUUUCUUGUAUAUUCACAUAGCACCAUUUAUGUUAAUUAUCUGCUUAAAUUUGUUGGCUUAUAUAUAGACCAAGUGUAAUAUGUCUUGAGAGAUGAUUUUCUUUUCCAUAUAUGCAUUUAACUCCUGUUGAGUUCAGUGCAUGUAUGGCGAGAACUUUCCCUAAUGGUAAUGUUAAACAUAAGUGAAAGUGUUUGACUUUCUCAGUAAAUAGGUUUCUGCAUUUAGACUGAGCUCCUAAUCUAAUUUCAGUUCAGUUUGCAUUUUGAAAGAGGAUGUACAAUGCUGUUUGCUAGUGUUUGUGCCAAAAUUCGAAAGACAGCUGAGCACCAGUGACUCCUGUUGACUCUAAUGACUUCUAGCUGGAGUCACAGGUACUCAGUAUCUCUCAGGAUUGAGCCAAACUUUCUCUUCAACUGUACCCGUACAGUUCAGCUGGUGUCACUGAGGAUUCAUGGGUGUAAUUGGGGGCAGAAUCUGGUCCCGACUCGGUAGAGUGCGGAAGGGAGUAAAAGCAGCAAAAUCCCCAACAAGAAAGUUGACUCCAGCAGUCCAUCCUACCAAAGGUGUCUGAAUAUAGGAAGAGGCCCCACACAAAGCCAGAACGCGUGCUUGUCUUGCCGCUGUCUUUAAUCGUAUUAAAUCUUAUUAACAAAUAAUGACAAGCAAAGUGAGACUGAUCUGAAGAAUGGAGAAACGGUUUUGGAGGGAGGUAGUUAAGCCAUAUCUGUUCCAGAGAUGUUGUCUUCUUCACUCCCAAAUACCUGAGAGAUUUCAUAAGAUUCAGUAGACUUCCCAUUGCUGAUACUUCCUCCUUGUGCCAAGGGGGGAUACGAAGAAGAAGAUGAUCACAGGAUUCAAAAGAUGGAGAUCCUGCCAUCAAUGACUGAGCUUCCCUGAAAUCUUCUUAUCAGUUACUGCCAAGAUGAGAAGGAUAACAGAAAGGAGGAGUUUUAAGUGGUUUAAAUGAUAGUUAAUUUCACCUAUUUAUCAAAUGACAGUCAUUCUUAAAACUCCAGUUGUUGUACAAAAGGACACUUUUUUGGAAACUGUUUUUGUAAAAUUUACUAUUUUGUAAACAAAGUCACUGGUUUUUUUAAUGUAUAUAAAAUGAAUGAUAUGGUCAUCGU